rnacentral:rRNA from 1 species
CCUACGGGAGGCUGCAGUGGGGAAUAUUGGGCAAUGCGCGCAAGCCUGACCCAGCAACGCCGCGUGAAGGACGAAGGCUUUCGGGUUGUAAACUUCUUUUCUCAGGGACGAAGCAAGUGACGGUACCUGAGGAAUCAGCCACGGCUAACUACGUGCCAGCCGCCGCGGUAAUACGUAGGUGGCAAGCGUUAUACGGAUUUACUGGGUGUAAAGGGCGGGUUGGCGGGAUAGCAAGUCAGAAGUGAAAAACAUGGGCGCAACCUGUGGCCUGCAUGUGCAACUGUUUUUCUUGAGUACUGGAGAGGCAGACGGAAUUCCUGGUGUAGCGGUGAAAUGCGUAGAUAUUAGGAGGAACACCAGUGGCGAAGGCGGUCUGCUGGACAGCAACUGACGCUGAGGCGCGAAAGCGUGGGGAGCAAACAGGAUUAGAUACCCCUGUAGUC